UGCUAAUUAUGCCUCGAGGCGUAGCCGCACGAGGGAUACGGUAAAGCUGACUGUGUGUGUGUCUGUCUGUCUGUGUGUGUGUGUGUGUAUUCCAGCUAUAACUGCUCAACGGUUGCAAUGCGACGAAAACUAACAGCUUCUAUAGGCUUCUAGCCACGUUCUCUUGGAUUUUGAUUCGUGGAUUAGCAAACUAAAGCUUCUUUCUCGAGUUAUGGCUAGUUUGACUCACAUUGAAGGCUGUUGCAGUCUCUUCAGAAUCUUUCAUAGCAUCAUCUGUCCGCACAAACUUUCUAUUCAACAUAUGAGUUAGCCUUGCACUAAAGCGCUAGCUUUUUGUUAGCUACAAUACUCAGAAAAUAUCUGUUAAAACAGCUAGCUAGCAGUAGCCAUUUGUGAAAUUGAUCUCUUUGGACACACCCUUUAAUUAUUCCUGUGGAUGUAAUGCGCAUGCGUGCUCAUUCCCCAUGUGUGAUAUCCAAGAUCCAGAUCCAGAUUAUCCUGGCAGAAUCAUCUUUGUCUUGAGGGCCUGGUAAGCCACAAAACACUACCAUAUAACAAUAUAGAUAACAAUAUGCAUGUACACAGGUCUUUUCUUCUUAGAUAUUAUAUACACUGAACUACAGAUCCUGGAAGAAUCAAUUUUCUUCUUUCUUGAGGUCCUGGUAAGCCACAUAAUACAAUAAAUAACAACAAUAGAUGCAUGUAAAUAAGUCUUUUCUUCUCAGUGACUUUAUAUAGAUAAGCUAACUUUAAUAUAAAAUUCAUUAUAGAUAACACUCUAAUACUUUUGAGCGAAAGCAAAAACAUGGCGAGAGGCAUUAGCACAGCGCCAGCUUGAACACUAGUUUUGGCAGUGAUCACCUCCCAUACUAAGGAAAGAGUAAAUAAACCACCUAAUUGUGGACAGUUUCUGUACAGAAUAGUACAAGGGAUAACAAUACUUAAGACUUCUACUAAUACUUAAAAUAAAUAUUUCAGGAUACGAUUUGCUUCACAGUCUCGGCAGCACUGUGCAAAUCAAUGACACGCUUGUAGAUUUUCAUCUCGAACCUGUCCCAAGUCUUGGAGCCCUCACCACAGGGGGUCUUCCUGGUGGUGAUCUUCAGGACAUUAGGCCUUCACUUUGAGGUCAGAGUCCUUGGCCCGACGAAUGAGGUUGUCACACACUAACAAAUGAACCAGUCUUUGAACGUACUACACUAACAGUAUAGUAGCGUAUGGAUAGCUUUAUUACAUAAUUUUAUUCUCUCUCUCAACGCUAAACAAACAGUCUAGUCCAGCUAACUACGAACCUUUCUCAAGACUUUUGACGUUUCGGCUGGUGAGAGUGAUCCUGAUCUUGUGGACCUGAGACUAUUCCUGUACUCCUUCCUUGACUAUAUGAGGGUGAUAUAAAAACUGAAUUGUAGAUAGGAUUUUUCAAUAGACACACACCAAACUUUAACUACGGGCCCUAGAGUCAAUUUUUAACAAAAAAGGAGCAAGCAGGAUAAUCAGCGACCCUCUAACUUACCAUUUUGCUGUUAUAAAAGUUAGGCCGACGUAUUCAAAGCUUAUGAACAGCGGUGAACCUAACACAACCGUUUUCUUGCUUGGGUUAGAAAGAACCACGUGGAGAAGGAGAGAACGGACAUGCGUCUUGUGAGAAGUAACUUAGAGACUGUGCAAAGAAGAUGGAAGGUGGUUUCCAAGUGGAUGUGAUUCUGAGCAGUUUGAGGGAAUUACAGAAAGGUAGCAAACACUCUUAAACACUGACCAUUGAUUAUAUUACCCCCAGCAAAGGCCCAGAAUGAACGAGUGCUGGCUGGAGAGUACGCUAAACGAAAGCAAAUUGAAGCGUAACUAAUGGAAAGCUAAUUGCAACGUCAGAGAAACAAAACAAAAUGAAGGAGACACUUCAAGUGGCUGAGCUCAAAGUUGCCCAAACUCAGGCACAAGCAAAAAUGUUUAAACAGCUGAACUGUGAAAGAAGAGACGAAAUUGCUCAGCUCAAUUCACAAAUUGCACAGAAAAUGAAGAAUGACAAAAUCACAUGGACACAUACGAAAGUCAAAUGACAACACUAACAGAAAUGUUCCGGACAACAUGGCA